ACGGCCGCGGUAUCCUAACCGUGCAAAGGUAGCACAAUCACUUGUUCUUUAAAUCAGGACUAGUAUGAAUGGCCUAACGAGGGCUAUGCUGUCUCCCCCUUCCAAUCAGUGAAACUGAUCCCCUCGUGAAGAAGCGAGGAUACCUAUAUAAGACGAGAAGACCCCAUGGAACUUUAAACUAGCAUCACCUCCCUAUAACGAGACCCCAUGACUGCUAGUCUUUCGGCUGGGGCGACCACGGAGAAUAAUAAAACCCCCGAGAUGAAAGGAGAUAUCCUUAUCCUAGAACCACUAUUCCAAGAAUCAACUAAUGACAUUAUUGACCCAAUAAUUGACCAACGAACCAAGCUACCCUGGGGAUAACAGCGCAAUCCAUUUCAAGAGACCUCAUCGACAAAUGGGCUUACGACCUCGAUGUUGGAUCAGGGAAUCCCGGUGGUGCAGCCGCUACUAAAGGUUCGUUUGUUCAACGAUUAAAACCCU
rnacentral:rRNA from 1 species